GGCGAGAUGCCCAGCGGUCUAAAAUGCUGGUUUAAGGCACCAGUCUCUCUGGAAGCGUGGUUUCAAAUCCCACUCUCGUCA
rnacentral:tRNA from 1 species